GUGCCAGCCGCCGCGGUAAUACCGGCAGCCCGAGUGAUGGCCGAUCUUAUUGGGCCUAAAGCGUCCGUAGCCGGCCGGACAAGUCCGUUGGGAAAUCGACGCGCCUAACGCGUCGGCGUCCAGCGGAAACUGUCCGGCUUGGGGCCGGAAGAUCCGAGGGGUACGUCCGGGGUAGGUGUGAAAUCCCAUAAUCCCGCACGGACCACCGAUGGCGAAAGCACUUCGAGAAAAUGGAUCCGACAGUGAGGGACGAAAGCCAGGGUCUCCAACCGGAUUAGAAACCCCAGUAGUCC
rnacentral:rRNA from 1 species